UUAACUCAAAUCUGUAUGGAGUUGGAAGGUUUACCUACGUUUGCCGCUAGGGGCGCUGUUCCAACUGCAUAUAAAUUAAGAGUU
rnacentral:pre_miRNA from 1 species